AAACUUAAAGGAAUUGACGGGGACCCGCACAAGCGGUGGAGCAUGUGGUUUAAUUCGACGCAACGCGAAGAACCUUACCAAGUCUUGACAUCCUUUUGACCGGUCGGUAAUGCGACCUUCUCUUCGGAGCAAAAGUGACAGGUGGUGCAUGGUUGUCGUCAGCUCGUGUCGUGAGAUGUUGGGUUAAGUCCCGCAACGAGCGCAACCCUUAUCUUUAGUAGCCAGCAUUUCGGAUGGGCACUCUAGAGAGACUGCCAGGGAUAACCUGGAGGAAGGUGGGGAUGACGUCAAAUCAUCAUGCCCCUUAUGACUUGGGCUACACACGUGCUACAAUGGCGUAAACAAAGGGACGCAAUACCGCGAGGUUGAGCAAAUCCCAAAAUAACGUCUCAGUUCGGAUUGUAGUCUGCAACUCGACUACAUGAAGCUGGAAUCGCUAGUAAUCGCAAAUCAGAAUGUUGCGGUGAAUACGUUCCCGGGUCUUGUACACACCGCCCGUCACACCAUGGGAGUUGGGAAUGCCCGAAGCCAGUGACCUAACCGUAAGGAAGGAGCUGUCGAAGGCAGGCUCGAUGACUGGGGU
rnacentral:rRNA from 1 species